rnacentral:rRNA from 1 species
GGAAUUGACGGGGGCCCGCACAAGCGGCGGAGCAUGCGGAUUAAUUCGAUGCAACGCGAAGAACCUUACCUGGGUUUGACAUGGCCGCAAAACCUCCAGAGAUGGGGGGUCCUUCGGGGGCGUCACAGGUGGUGCAUGGCUGUCGUCAGCUCGUGUCGUGAGAUGUUGGGUUAAGUCCCGCAACGAGCGCAACCCUCGUUCGAUGUUGCCAGCGCGUUAUGGCGGGGACUCAUCGAAGACUGCCGGGGUCAACUCGGAGGAAGGUGGGGAUGACGUCAAGUCAUCAUGCCCCUUAUGUCCAGGGCUUCACGCAUGCUACAAUGGCCGGUACAAUGGGGGGAGAUACCGUGAGGUGGAGCGAAUCCCAAAAAGCCCCUCUC